rnacentral:rRNA from 1 species
GAUGAACGCUGGCGGUAUGCCUAACACAUGCAAGUCGUACGAGAGUUUUUAACUCUAGUGGCGGACGGGUGAGUAACACGUGAGAAUUUGCCUUUAGGAGGGGGAUAACAAUUGGAAACGAAUGCUAAUACCCCAUAUGCUUUUGAGUGAAAUGGAUUUUAUCCGCCUAGAGAGAAGCUCGCGGCUGAUUAGCUUGUUGGUAAGGUAAGAGCUUACCAAGGCGACGAUCAGUAUCUGGUUUGAGAGGACGAUCAGACACACUGGAACUGAGACACGGUCCAGACUCCUACGGGAGGCAGCAGUGGGGAAUUUUCCGCAAUGGGCGAAAGCCUGACGGAGCAAUACCGCGUGAGGGAAGAAUGCCUAUGGGUUGUAAACCUUCUUUUUCAGGGAGGAACAAAAUGACGUGUACCUGAAGAAUAAGCAUCGGCUAACUCCGUG